AGUGAACGCUGGCGAUAGGCCUAACACAUGCAAGUCGAACGGCAGCACAGUAAGAGCUUGCUCUUACGGGUGGCGAGUGGCGGACGGGUGAGGAAUACAUCGGAAUCUACUUUUUCGUGGGGGAUAACGUAGGGAAACUUACGCUAAUACCGCAUACGACCUACGGGUGAAAGCAGGGGAUCUUCGGACCUUGCGCGAUUGAAUGAGCCGAUGUCGGAUUAGCUAGUUGGCGGGGUAAAGGCCCACCAAGGCGACGAUCCGUAGCUGGUCUGAGAGGAUGAUCAGCCACACUGGAACUGAGACACGGUCCAGACUCCUACGGGAGGCAGCAGUGGGGAAUAUUGGACAAUGGGCACAAGCCUGAUCCAGCCAUACCGCGUGGGUGAAGAAGGCCUUCGGGUUGUAAAGCCCUUUUGUUGGGGAAGAAAAGCAGCAGGUUAAUACCCCGCUGUUCUGACGGUACCCAAAGAAUAAGCACCGGCUAACUUCGUG
rnacentral:rRNA from 1 species